GGUUGGGAGUCCUGACCCCCCCCUUAGAUCCGCGCUUAGUUCUGUGUUCAGUUUAUUGCAAACUUUUAGAGACCACUGAAAACAUUUAUAUUUCUAUGUAGUGCAAUAUUAUUUAGGUUCAAUGGAUUUGUAUCAAAUGUAGUAUCUUCUAUCCUUUUUUUCUUGACGGUUAAUGCAUUAUAAUUAUUAGGAAUGCAAAUGUUUGUUUACCAUGUCAAAAUACAUGUAGUUAAAAUGUUAAUGUACCCAUUUUGUUAAUAAUAAUAAUAAUUUUGAUUUACAGUAAUGCAGCUUUACAUGUUAAUAUAUUAAAAUAAUGGAGAGAAAUAUAUUUUAAGUCAAAAUAAGUUACAAUUGUUGUUAUUAACGUGUUUAGUAUAUAUACACACAUACAGAGAGAGAGAGAGAGAGAGAGAGAGAGAGAGAGAGAGAGACUUGAUGUUGUUAAAGGUUGGUAUAGAAAUGAUAUACUGUCAAUAGUUGAGAUGUGUAUCAAUUAAUGUAUAUGAAUAAAAGAUGAAAAUCAU
rnacentral:sRNA from 1 species